AAGGAAUAUUGGUCAAUGGACGCAAGUCUGAACCAGCCAUGCCGCGUGGAGGAUGAAGGUCCUCUGGAUUGUAAACUUCUUUUAUCUGGGACGAAACACUCCUAUUCUUAGGGGCCUGACGGUACCAGAUGAAUAAGCACCGGCUAACUCCGUGCCAGCAGCCGCGGUAAUACGGAGGGUGCAAGCGUUAUCCGGAUUCACUGGGUUUAAAGGGUGCGUAGGUGGGUAUGUAAGUCAGUGGUGAAAUCCCCGAGCUUAACUUGGGAACUGCCGUUGAUACUAUAUAUCUUGAAUGUCGUAGAGGUAAGCGGAAUAUGUCAUGUAGCGGUGAAAUGCUUAGAGAUGACAUAGAACACCAAUUGCGAAGGCAGCUUGCUAUGCGAUUAUUGACACUGAGGCACGAAAGCGUGGGUAGCAAAC
rnacentral:rRNA from 1 species